rnacentral:rRNA from 1 species
GACGAACGCUGGCGGCGUGCUUAACACAUGCAAGUCGAACGGAAAGGCCCUGCUUUUGUGUGGUGCUCGAGUGGCGAACGGGUGUGUAACACGUGAGUAACCUGCCCUUGACUUUGUGAUAACUUCAGGAAACUGCGGCUAAUACCUGCUAGGAGCUCCUGCUGCAUGGUGGGGGUUGGAAAGUUUCGGCGGUUGGGGAUGGACUCGCGGCUUAUCAGCUUGUUGGUGGGGUAGUGGCUUACCAAGGCUUUGACGGGUAGCCGGCCUGAGAGGGUGACCGGCCACAUUGGGACUGAGAUACGGCCCAGACGCCUACGGGAGGCAGCAGUGGGGAAUAUUGCACAAUGGGCGGAAGCCUGAGGCAGCAACGCCGCGUGCGGGAUGACGGCCUUCGGGUUGUAAACCGCUUUCGCCUGUGACGAAGCGGGAGUGACGGUAAUGGGUAAAGAAGCACCGGCUAACUACGUG